rnacentral:rRNA from 1 species
CCAUUUCUAAGGUUGNCCUCGGAUCAGGUAGGGAUACCCGCUGAACUUAAGCAUAUCAAUAAGCGGAGGAAAAGAAACCAACAGGGAUUGCUCUAGUAACGGCGAGUGAAGCAGCAAUAGCUCAAAUUUGAAAUCUGGCGUCUUCGACGUCCGAGUUGUAAUUUGUAGAGGAUGCUUCUGAGUAACCACCGACCUAAGUUCCUUGGAACAGGACGUCAUAGAGGGUGAGAAUCCCGUAUGCGGUCGGAAAGGUGCUCUAUACGUAGCUCCUUCGACGAGUCGAGUUGUUUGGGAAUGCAGCUCUAAAUGGGAGGUAAAUUUCUUCUAAAGCUAAAUAUUGGCCAGAGACCGAUAGCGCACAAGUAGAGUGAUCGAAAGAUGAAAAGCACUUUGGAAAGAGAGUUAAAAAGCACGUGAAAUUGUUAAAAGGGAAGGGAUUGCAACCAGACUUGCUCGCGGUGUUCCGCCGGUCUUCUGACCGGUCUACUCGNCGCGUUGCAGGCCAGCAUCGUCUGGUGCCGCUGGAUAAGACUUGAGGAAUGUAGCUCCCUCGGGAGUGUUAUAGCCUCUUGUGAUGCAGCGAGCGCCGGGCGAGGUCCGCGCUUCGGCUAGGAUGCUGGCGUAAUGGUCGUAAUUCGCC